GACGUAGGGGGCCAGCGUUGCUCGGAAUUACUGGGUGUAAAGGGUUCGUAGGCGGUGUGGCAAGUCGGGAGUGAAAUCUUUGGGCUCAACUCAAAGGCUGCUUCCGAAACUGCCGCGCUAGAGUGUGGGAGAGGCGCGUGGAAUUGCAGGUGUAGCGGUGAAAUGCGUAGAUAUCGGGAGGAACACCUGUGGCGAAAGCGGCGCACUGGACCACAACUGACGCUGAGGCGCGAAAGCUAGGGGAGCAAACAGG
rnacentral:misc_RNA from 1 species